AAGGUUCGUCUGCUCUUCGUUUAGUUUUGAGAUCACGAAACUUGUACCCACAAAGUUUGAGUGAGAUUAUAAAGAGAACGAUCACUCUUUUUAAACAUACGUGGCUGCACGAAAUAGUAAUGAAAAAAAUGAAAAAAAUCAAGAACAAAUUAAAUUACGAAAAUGUGAUCGUUGUGUGAAUGAACUGGUGUGAUGUGUCUGGUGUCGUGGCUCUCCACGCUCUACGCCCAAUACUUUUUGGCGGUUCCUGUCUAGCACCUGCAAGUCCCCUGUCAAAUCAAUGCAUGGCAGUUUGCACUAUGUAACCUUUUUCUUUUGGAGGCCAGAGCCAGCCAUCGUAACAACAAGAUAUGCAAGUUCUGCUUGUGCUUUUCUGCCAUCAGUCUAUCUGUUGUCUCCCCUGUCACUCACCAUUUCAUAUUUCAUCAUCGCUUUGGAUAAAGAGCAUCCCAUUGCACUGGCGAAACUACCGAGGAUGUCGAGCGAGUUAUGGAUCUCUUCUUCCCCCUUUUCUUUAAAUGUCUUCGUGUACGCCCAUGUGAAUGUGGGUGUAUUCACGAGGACACCCUUUGUCCCUAUCCCGUCUGGUGUAUAAGUCAACUCUUCAGCGGAUGGAUGGAG